GCCCCCGUAGUUCAACGGACAGAACAAGAGACUCCUAAGCUCUGGAUCCAAGUUCGACUCUUGGUGGGGGCACCG
rnacentral:tRNA from 1 species